rnacentral:ncRNA from 1 species
AAUAAAUUUUUAUAGUUUAAGAAAUUUAUUAUAAAUUUAUUUUACAUAUAAAUUUUUGUAUAUAUUUUUAAUUAUUUAAAUAAUAUUUAAUUUAAAAAUUUUAGUAAUUAACAUUAAAAAUUUAAGAAAUUAAGAUUUAGUAAUAUAAAAAUUAAAAACAAAUUUUGUGCCAGCAGUUGCGGUUAAACAAAUUUUAAAUUAAAUUUUAUUAGUGAUUUAAUUAAUAAUUUAUAUUUACAUAUAGAUAUGUAAUUAAUUUAUUUAAAUUAAAUAUAAAAUUAUUAAGUGAAAUUUUAAUUUAAUUAAAAUUUAUUUGAAAAAUUAUGAAAUUAAUAAAUUUUAUUAAAAACUAGGAUUAGAUACCCUAUUAUUAAAAAUUUAAAUAAAAUGGACUAAAAUAGUAAUUAAUUAAUUAUUGAAACUUAAAUAAUUUGGCGGUAUUUUAGUUCCUUUAGAGGAAUCUGUUUAAUAAUUGAUAAUCCACGAAUAAAUUUACUUAAUUUAUUUAAUUUUAUAUAUCGUUGUUAUAUAAAUAUUUUUUUAUAAAAAUAAUAUUUUAAAAUUAAAAUUUAAAUUAAAUCAGAUCAAGAUGUAGAUUAUAAUUAAGAAUAUAAUGGAUUACAAUAAAUUUAUUUAAACGAAUAUUAAUUUGAAAUAAUUAAUUGAAGGUGGAUUUAAAUGUAAUUUUAUUUAAUUUAAUAAAAUGAUUUAAAAUAUAAAAUAUGUACAUAUUGCCCGUCGCUUUCAUUAAUAAAUUGAAAUAAGUCGUAACAAAGUAGAUGUACUGGAAAGUGUUUCUAGAAAGA